GUAGGGAAUAUUGGUCAAUGGGCGGGAGCCUGAACCAGCCAAGUCGCGUGAAGGAAGAAGGAUCUAUGGUUCGUAAACUUCUUUUGCAGGGGAAUAAAGUGCAGGACGUGUCCUGUUUUGUAUGUACCCUGAGAAUAAGGAUCGGCUAACUCCGUGCCAGCAGCCGCGGUAAUACGGAGGAUCCGAGCGUUAUCCGGAUUUAUUGGGUUUAAAGGGUGCGUAGGUGGUUUGAUAAGUCAGCGGUGAAAGUUUGCAGCUUAACUGUAAAAAUGCCGUUGAAACUGUCGGACUUGAGUGUAAAUGAGGUAGGCGGAAUGCGUGGUGUAGCGGUGAAAUGCAUAGAUAUCACGCAGAACUCCGAUUGCGAAGGCAGCUUACUAAGCUACAACUGACACUGAAGCACGAAAGCGUGGGGAUCAAACAGGAUUAGAAACCCUGGUAGUCC
rnacentral:rRNA from 1 species